AAUCUUCUUGCCAACAUGUGUGGUCCAGAGCUUCCAGAUUUCUUCCCAAUUUGUCUUCACUUCCACUAUGUGUGAACAGUUAGGGUUUACGAUUUUGGGUCUAUAUAAAUAAUGGGUGAAAUUAAGAGUUUGGAACUUGGAAAUAGAAGAUAGGAAGAUGUUUUGUAUGGGCAAAGGGGAAUUUUACAGAGAAAGAAAGUCACAGAAGAAUGGAGGCUGAAACAAAGAGACAAUGAUAUUUCGCGGUAGACAAAGAAAAUAAAGAGGGAAAGUGGCUUUUUAUACUACAAACUAAAUGACACAUUUUAUAAAGAAGAGUCACCUUUUAAUUAACUAAAGAUGACUUCUUAUUUAGUGGUGAGUCAUUUUUAUGUCAUAAAUAAAAACAAUUUUAUAAUAUAUGACUUCCAAAAGUAAAUAAAAGUCAUCUAAACUAAUAGAUGACAAUUAAUAAUAUGUUUGUCAUGUAUUACAUGUCAUCUUUGUCCU
rnacentral:lncRNA from 1 species